UAGUCUUUUUAAAAAUAAAAAAAAAUUGUUUGCAUUGAUUCUUCAGUAUGCAACGUGUAUUACAACUUUUUCUGACAGUAGCUUAAAUGUGUUAUUGAGUAACUUCAUUUCCCAACCCCUAUCUAAUAAUGAGCAGGUUGAGGAGCGCCAAGUGGCAGUUGAUGAAUUACUAGAUGCUGAUGAAGUCUUUUGUACGGGAACAGCUGUGGUUGUAUCACCUGUCGGCAGCAUCACUUACCAUGGUAAAAGGGUGUCUUAUGGAGAGGGCGGGUUUGGAACUGUGUCGGAAAAGCUUUACUCAGUGCUUACCAGACUACAGAUGGGCCUCACACAGGACAAGAUGGAUUGGACUGUUGAGCUAAGGCAAAAAACAUACUGAAGUGAAAAUCCGAGUUUUACACCCCCGCUGUUGCUGCUGCAAAUCACUAUCAAUCCUUUGGUAGAUUGCUAGUUAUUUCUUGUUUACCUUGUUUUUUUUGGACGAUUUCCCUCUGUUUGUAGAUAGUCCGUUCUUGAACUGGGAUUUGGCAUUUUCGUUCAGAUUUCUUAUUAGUUUACAUUUCUUAUGUGUUACCAAAACAUAAAAAUUUCAUA